AUACGGAGGGUGCGAGCGUUAAUCGGAAUUACUGGGCGUAAAGCGUGCGUAGGCGGUUUGCUAAGCCAGAUGUGAAAGCCCCGGGCUUAACCUGGGAACUGCAUUUGAUACUGGCAGACUAGAGUAUGAUAGAGGGGGGUAGAAUUCCUGGUGUAGCGGUGAAAUGCGUAGAUAUCAGGAGGAAUACCAGUGGCGAAGGCGGCCCCCUGGAUCAAUACUGACGCUGAGGUACGAAAGCGUGGGGAGCGAACAGGAUUAGAAACCCUAGUAGUCC
rnacentral:rRNA from 1 species